GCAAGCAGUUGGAAGAGCUGUUGAUGCUCCUGAUGUCUCCCAGAGGCAGCUGGCAAUGACCUGGGUCAGCACAAGCCGCUCGUUAUCUUGAUCUCUGUUGGCAGUUCUGAGGCACAAUCCCUGAUUCACUUCUUCCCUUUAGAAGGACAGGACACGUGUGAGUUGGGGACAUUCACGCGGCAAGAAGCUGGGGGCAGCCUCCAGCCACCGCCAAUGGAGCACGACCCUUAUCCCAGUGCCUAGCAGAACUGAAUGCCUCCAAAAAGGACAUGGGGGAAGCUUAGACAUGAUCCUGCUCCAGUGGCACCUUCAGAUGACAUCAUGUCUGACACCCUGACUAUAGCCUUCUGAGAAACCUGGAGCUGGAUUCACAAGUGAGCUGCGUCCAGGGAAGGUAGUCAGUUACUUAGGGAGGAGCCUACUGCACUGUCUACAUAUGCCUCCGGAUACCCUUUCCUCUGCUGGACGACUGCUGCUCCAGUCUGAACUUGAUCCCGAGUUCUUCUGGGAGUGAGUGCUCCUCUCAUUCUUCUGCCUUGCUCAUCUGGUGCUCCCAAGCUAGGCUUAGAGCCACGUGGUCUUCUUCUGUGUGCCUGACCUGGAUUCCUGACCUAGAGCCUGAUUGCUGCAUUUCUGAUCCGAUCUGGGGGCAUGGGAUGGAACUUGGCAGACUUGCCUGGUCCUCAUAGGGAGAUGUGAGGGUAUCAGCUCUGAGCAAGAUUGCCAGCUGGCACCACCACUCAGUGGCACAGCGUUAUUUCAAAAGCUGAAACGCCGCCUGCCUGGAAGUCUCUGCAUAAGGGCACCCCCAGGAAUGCCUCUGUGCAGACAGCUUCUACGCUCCUGCCUCUGUAGCUGUACCACAGUGUGUGGAUAAACUCUACUUCCGCCAUCACGUCCUGACCCUGGCCAAGGCUACACUUUGGAUGGACAUGAAAGCAAUGGAGAAGCUGGACGGUUUUUACAUUUUACAGCCCAUGAUGGGAACAUGGAUUCUGCAAUGGGUGACUACCAGAGAUAUUGCAAUCUUACAUCAAGGCCAAUACUGCCCCAGGACACGAUGGGCUCAGAGCAAAGAUGCUGUUGCCUCUGAGAAGAACCAUUCUUGUUAGAAAGCGGUAACUGUAAGAACCUCUAGCUUCAGUUAUUCCAGGGCACUGUGAAAUAGAGACAGUGACUAACAGCCUGUGUAGAUCCUGCUCCCAGAAAAGCAGAUCUCUGAAUACCUCUAAACAGACACUAUAUGACUGUCUGGACCACUGUAGCUAUGCCACAGUGUGAUACACUCUUUUUUUUUUUUUUUUUCACUGGGAAAUAGACAUGAAGUUUCCAGUGUGAUAGACAUGAAGUUUCCAGUGUGAGGGGAAUGUGCUAUGCCACCAAGUGGGGGUGAGUUACAUAGUGCAUUUGCCAGUGGAACAUGCCAAACUUUGUUACGUUUAUGGCCUUUGAUAUAUGUAAACUUUACCUCCAAUAAAACUGCAAAACAAACAAACAAACAAACAAAAACACCACUUGAUUGGAAGAGGGACGUGGGUGCGGAUGCAAACAUAGAGAAAGCAAGGACAGCAGAAUAGUGACCAUCACUAAAGCUGGGUGACUGGAACCUAAAGCUCAUUUGUUUUCCAUAGUAAGAAGAAACUCUUCAACAAGGUCUCACCUCCUAAUAGUGCCCCUCCCUACAAGCCUAUGGAAGCCAUUUUCUUUCAUAUGUGUGUGUGUGUGUGUAUGUGUAUAUGUAUAUAUACAUACAUAUAUACAUAUACAUAUGGUUGCACUUUUAACUGGAAUAUAUAUAUUUGUAUUUAUGUAUAAAUACAUAUAAGGGAUUUCUUUUAAGGCACUGAGCUAGAUGUUUAGAGGAUAUGCUCUUUUGUGAAGGAGGUAGGAUUAGAUAUAAAUGUAACUGUAUUUUUCAGCUAUUUAUUUUUGCAAUUGAAUCAUUCAAUGUGUUCCUUGUUGAAGAGAUCCUUAUCUACAUAACCAGACCUCUGUGUUCCUGAGUUCUGUACCCAUUAGUGUAAACUACUGUGGACUGAACACAUUAAAGGAAAAGAUUGUAUUUAUCCUGAAUGUGGAUAGACUUUGAAUUGUCAAUUACUCCACAAACAACAUAGUAUAAAAUCAUUUGCAUUGCAUACAGCAUUGUAAGUGGUCUAGGGAUGGUUUAACAUGUCUAGAAAGAGGCUCAAUAGUCACCUGCAAGCGCUAUGCCAUUUUAUCUGAGACGUGAACACUGAUGGAUUUUGCUAUCGGUAGAAGCUCCUGGAACCAUCUUUGCACCUUUGACCUGAUGCACAUAAUUCAAAUGCCGGCUGCCUGGAGGAGAAGCUUCUGGUCUGAAGGAAUUAUUGAAAGCUGAACUGCGUCGGGACUUGGAGAACCAUCUCUGUGAUGCAUUCAUUAAAAAUGAGCUAGGGACUUCAGCUAUGCAUUACAGAGCAGAAUAAAAAUGAUCUCAUGUAAAUAGUAUGGGUUUUUUUGUUUGUUUGUUUGUUUUUUUGCCAAUGAAAAAUGACCCAACUUAGCAGUGCACUGUGAAGUUAGCUUUCAGUGCUCUCUGGACUGAAUGGGUUGUUUUCCUGGGUGACUGAGCCCAGCACUAAGACUGUCAGAGGAGCCGCUGGGGCUUCAGUGCUUGGAUUAAACAGGACAUCAGUUGCUUGAAUCCCACUGAUAAGAACAAUAUUCUUCCCAUGCUAGACUCAGCAAUGAAAACAAACAAGCCUAUGGCAUCAACUGCGUAUAUCAGGAAGAAUGGUUAACUCUGGCUUUCUUCAAUGCCAUCUCUGUUGUCUUUGAAAUUUCCUAGUUGGCUAUGAAAAUUAUUAUUUCAAAUCUUUGCGAUAUUUUUAGCGCAAAGGCAAUUAUGAAAGAAAACAGGGAAUCCAUGGCUCUUCUCCAAAGCUCACGUUCCAUUUAACCCAGAGAAUAUAACUCAUGAGUUCUUGUUAUGAAUCAAAGGCUGUCAUCCUUUCAAAAUAGGUGACUUAUCAGAUCCAAGUCAGGAGGUACAUACUGAUAGGAAGGCCAAGAAUGUACUAAGAGGAAUUUAUUCUUUAUUAAAAAA
ensembl:lincRNA BC046251 cDNA sequence BC046251